rnacentral:tRNA from 1 species
GGGAGUGUAUUUCAGUGGUAGAACAUUUGCUCAGCAUGCAGGAGGCCCUGGGUUUAGUCCCCAGCACCACUA